rnacentral:lncRNA from 1 species
GUGGGGCACUUGGUGACUAGAGACCCCAUGAGCCCCCACCCUCCAGCCUGGGGCGGGAUAGCCCAAUCGGAUGCUGGGGGGUCCGUUUGGAAACCACUCUCUGCUUUGAGGACACGCGCGGAGCUUCCCUGGGAGCAGGAGGCUCUGAAGGAAGAGGGGCAGACGCGAAGCCUCUGGCCAGCCGCGCCUCCGGUCCAGGCCUCCCUGUGUCCACAUCAGGUCUCCCGGCUUUUCACAACAGUGACCUUGACAGCGCCCAGAGUCCGCGGCUUCCAUCCAGUCCCCUCUUCCCCUGCGAGGCCGAGAGGGUGCAGAGCUGGUGGCUUCAGGAGGUGGCUGUGAGCGCGGGUCUGGGGCCAAGAGCAGAGGACAGGAGAAGACUGCCAAGCCACCACCGGUCCUGCGACAUAUUCACCAGCUGCCGGCGGCGAGGUCAGACCCCAGAUUCGGGUUUGCCCAGCAGGCGCUCGGCUUCCAUGCUCGCUCUCCACCUCCCUGCCUCUCUUAAGGAGGACCUGGCCCAUUAGGAAGCCCGGGGCGUUCUGUGGACUGGGUGGUCAAAAAUGGUGUGUGGAGGAGGGAGUCAAUUGAGAUUAGACGUGAAAAACGGGGAACCUGGGGACCGCAGGUUGGGGCCCAGGAGAGGACCGAAGCUUCCAUCCAAGACUAAGUGAGGAACACUGCGGCAAGAGGAAGGAAGAUUGAGUCGCAGUUGACUUGUGGAUUUUAUCGGUUUUAGUCCCUGUGUGACCGCCAGAAGUCUGCAGCUUUAUCCUUGAUGAGUUCUGAAGGCCCCUGAGGAGAGCUGAGCCCAAGAGACUUUUUAAUUCCACGGAGGUACUUCGCCUGAGGCAGGUCUCUUCUGUGCCCAGGGAAGGAAGGCUGGGAGUGAGGGUAUCUGAAAAUAUUCACAUGAGAAAAGGUCAAGUCCAUUUUUGCUAUCCUGUACUGAACACAGAUCAAUUAACUGGUCCCAGGAUUGAUAGCAACAGGCCUAUAACUGGUCUCCUGGUUCCUAUCCAGCCCUUCCCCCAUAAAGGCAGAAUCCUGUCUUCUUGGAACAGUGAAUCCCCAGCAGAGGACCUCAGCCUGGGCUGCCUGGAACCUGCUACCCUGCCCAGGAGCUGUCAACACCUGGAGCGCAGUGCAGGAAGAAUGCAGGGGCGCUUGGUGGGGAG